UACGGAGGGGGCUAGCGUUGUUCGGAAUUACUGGGCGUAAAGCGCACGUAGGCGGCUUUGUAAGUUAGAGGUGAAAGCCCAGAGCUCAACUCUGGAACUGCCUUUAAGACUGCAUCGCUUGAAUCAUGGAGAGGUUAGUGGAAUUCCGAGUGUAGAGGUGAAAUUCGUAGAUAUUCGGAAGAACACCAGUGGCGAAGGCGACUAACUGGACAUGUAUUGACGCUGAGGUGGCGAAAGCGUGGGGAGCAAACACGG
rnacentral:rRNA from 1 species